rnacentral:rRNA from 1 species
UACGAAGGGGGCUAGCGUUGUUCGGAUUUACUGGGCGUAAAGAGCUUGUAGGCGGUUUGUCGCGUCUGCUGUGAAAAUCCGGGGCUCAACCCCGGACUUGCAGUGGGUACGGGCAGACUAGAGUGUGGUAGGGGAGACUGGAAUUCCUGGUGUAGCGGUGAAAUGCGCAGAUAUCAGGAGGAACACCGAUGGCGAAGGCAGGUCUCUGGGCAUUAACUGACGCUGAGGAGCGAAAGCAUGGGGAGCGAACAGG